CCUCAAUUUGAUCAAACAAUUUCCUAUUUAUUAUGGUUUCAAGUUUGAAGCUCUUUUAUGCUUUGGUUAUUUUUAUUUCUUUAUUUCUCAUUUUAACCAACGGUACUCAAUUCCCCUCAAGUCUAUUUCCCUGCAUUAUGGAUGCUGACUGUCCCUGGGAUAUGUGUCUUAACACUAAUCUUGAUCGGAUGUGCAUUGAUGAUGCUUGUUUUUGCGUAUGACUUUUAGCAAAAAUAAAUCAAUAUUAUUCAUAAGCAACGUACAAUUUUACUUGUACAUAUAGUUUAUAAAAUAAGAUUUAAAUUAUUUUUGAA